rnacentral:rRNA from 1 species
UUUAAAGUCUAAUCUGCCCAAUGAUACGUUAAAUGGCCGCGGUAAUUUGACCGUGCAAAGGUAGCAUAAUCAUUAGUUUUUUAAUUGGAAGCUGGUAUGAACGAUUGGACGAGGGAAUGACUGUCUCUGUUUAAUUGUUUUGAAUUUUAUUUUUUAGUAAAAAAGCUUAAAUAUUUUUAAUAGACGAGAAGACCCUAUAGAGUUUUAUACGAAGAUUUGUGUGUAUUUUGAGUUAUAUUUAUAUAGAUAUAUUUUGAUGUAUUUUGUUGGGGUGAUAGAAAAAUUAAAUAAACUUUUUUUAUUUUAAUACAUUAAUUUAUGAUUAAGUGAUCCAUGUUUUAUGAUAAUAAGAUGAAAUUACCUUAGGGAUAACAGCGUAAUUUUUUUUUAGAGUUCUAAUCGAAAAAAGAGUUUGCGACCUCGAUGUUGGAUUAAAAUGAACUUUUGGUGCAGGGGCUAAAUGGUUAGGUCUGUUCGACCUUUAAAAUUUUACAUGAUCUGAGUUUAAACCGGCGUGAGCCAGGUUGGUUUCUAUCUUUAAAAUAUAGUGGAUGUUUUAGUACGAAAGGAUCAGAGAUUCAGAAUAAUUAUUUUAUUUUGGAUUGAGUUAAA